rnacentral:rRNA from 1 species
ACGCUGGCGGCGUGCUUAACACAUGCAAGUCGAACGAGAAGAGAUGAGAAGCUUGCUUCUUAUCAAUUCGAGUGGCAAACGGGUGAGUAACGCGUAAGCAACCUGCCCUUCAGAUGGGGACAACAGCUGGAAACGGCUGCUAAUACCGAAUACGUUCUUUCCGCCGCAUGACGGGAUGAAGAAAGGGAGGCCUUCGGGCUUUCGCUGGAGGAGGGGCUUGCGUCUGAUUAGCUAGUUGGAGGGGUAACGGCCCACCAAGGCGACGAUCAGUAGCCGGUCUGAGAGGAUGAACGGCCACAUUGGGACUGAGACACGGCCCAGACUCCUACGGGAGGCAGCAGUGGGGAAUCUUCCGCAAUGGACGAAAGUCUGACGGAGCAACGCCGCGUGAACGAUGACGGCCUUCGGGUUGUAAAGUUCUGUUAUAUGGGACGAACAGGAUGACGGUUAAUACCCGUUGUCCCUGACGGUACCGUAAGAGAAAGCCACGGCUAACUACGUGCCAGCAGCCGCGGCAAUACGUAGGUGGCAAGCGUUGUCCGGAAUUAUUGGGCGUAAAGGGCGCGCAGGCGGCAUCGCAAGUCGGUCUUAAAAGUGCGGGGCUUAACCCCGUGAGGGGGCCCGAACUUGGAAACCUCCAAUUUCCGGGGAGGAAAACCGAAAUCCUAAGUUUUGCCGGUGAAAUGCGUAGUUAUAGGGAGGACCCCCAGUGGGGGAAAGCGGCUUUUUUGACGGCCAACUGCCGCUGAAGCGGCGAAAGCCAGGGGGGGCAACGGGGAUUAGAUACCCCGUUAUUCCUGGCCGUAAACGAUGGAUUACUAGGUUUAGGAGUUUUCGACUCUUUUUGUGCCGGAGUUAACGCAAUAAAUAUUCUUCUUGGGGAGUGCGGCCGCAGGGCUGAAAUUCAAAAAAAUUGACGGGGGCCCGCCCAACCGCUGGAGUAUGUGUUUUAAUUUGACGCAACGCGAAGAACCUUACCAAGCCUUGACAUUGAUUGCUACGGAAAGAGAUUUCCGGUUCUUCUUCGGAAGACAAGAAAACAAAUGGUGCACGGCUGUCGUCAGCUCGUGUCGUGAGAUGUUGGGUUAAGUUCCGCAACGAGCGCAACCCCUAUCUUCUNUUCCCNNCNCNAANNNNNNNNNNNNCNNNNNUUUUUUUUUUGAUCAUCCUGAUGAAGGCGGGGAUGACGUCAAGUCCUCAUACCCCUUAUGGCUUGGGGGGCACACGUAAUACAAUGGCUCUUAAUAGAGGGAAGGGAAGGAGCGAUCUGGUGCAAACCCCAAAAACAGAGUCCCAGUUCGGAUUGCAGGCUGCAACUCGCCUGCAAGAAGCAGGAAUCGCUAGUAAUCGCAGGUCAGCAUGGUGCGGUGAAUUCGUUCCCGGGCCUUGUUCACCCCGGACGUCACACCAUUGAAAGCUCAUUGACACCCGAAGCCGGUGAGGCAACCGCAAGGAACCUGCCGUCGAAGGUGGGCGCGAUGAUUGGGGUGAACUCGUAACGAGGUAGCCG